rnacentral:rRNA from 1 species
UACGAAGGGGGGCUAGCGUUGUUCGGAAUUACUGGGCGUAAAGCGCACGUAGGCGGUCUUUUAAGUCGGGGGUGAAAUCCCGGAGCUCAACUCCGGAACUGCCUUUGAUACUGGUCGUCUAGAGAUCGGAAGAGGUGAGUGGAAUUCCCAGUGUAGAGGUGAAAUUCGUAGAUAUUGGGAAGAACACCAGUGGCGAAGGCGGCUCACUGGCCCGGUACUGACGCUGAGGUGCGAAAGCGUGGGGAGCAAACAGG